UCUAUCUUUAUAUAUGGCCUACAUGUCAUUUAGCUUUCAACAAAAGAGACUUUGAAAUGAAUUGUCUCCUAAGAUUUUAGCUAGUGUUGUAUAAUAAAGCUAUAUAUACAGUUCUAACUUUCAAUCCUUCUGCGCCCUCACCCCUCAAAAGGUGGAAAUUUUCCAGAUUUAAUAGGCAGCGUGAAAGGAGUUGAAGAGUCUCAUCUCCCUCAGCAAGCUUUAUCAGAAGGAGUGAUUGGGAACUAAUGUGACAUCACAAUUAGGAACACUUGCAUUGCUCCAUGAGGAAACGUGUCAAGGCUCAUUAAAAAGCUUCCACUGGAGACGACCCGGAAAAAUGAACAGCAGCUACUGUAGUUGUCUGACUCCCAAACAAGCAGGUCAAAGGCGAUCGAUCAUCUUGUCACCCGCUGAGAUAAAAAAAAAAAAAAAAAGAAAAAAACGCCAGCUUUUCAAGUCAAGUGGCUCCGAAUAGGACGCAAAGUGCCAAGACAUAUCCACAAUGGAACAGUUGCCGCUGUCAAUCAGCUGUCCGUAGUUCUGCAGAGUAUCAUUCAGACACCAACAAUGACCGUCAGUGUUGGCUUACUGUAAAUAGUGUUGAUUAGCGUGUCGCGAAAGUGUCACUAUAGCGCUCUCUCUGGGGGUCAGUUUGACGGUGGCCAUAAGGAGCUCACUUCUCACUCAUAGUUUAUUAGCAUUGCACAGCCUUUAUUAUUAUUAUUAUUUUAGGGUUAUGGGAAAGCCUUUCCUGUUGAUUUUUGAAAGCUCUGCAUUAAGUUGUCCCAGGUUCCUAAAUCAAUGAAAAGAAACAACUCUCGAAGUUGCCAAUGCCAUACUAUGUAAGCAGACCAGGUGAUUGUCCUUAUCCGAAAGAGAAUUUUGAAAUAAAGUCCGCAUUUUCUGAGUAUAUGUUGAAUUUAGAGUUUGACGUAUGUAAGCAGUGUUGCCAGUUACUUUGAAAAAGUAACUUUAGUGAUUACUUGAACAGAAAUGUAACUUAGUUACUUUCCCACUUACUUGAUUUUUUUUCUUUA